rnacentral:lncRNA from 1 species
CACAGAAGCCCGGGGACUGGGAGUGUGCUGUUCCAGGGGCCAAGGGAGGAACACUGACUCCAAAGUUCUGAGGGUAGUGCUCUGCCUAGAACUCAUGAGUAUGAUCAAGCUACCCUGAGCAGGCUACCAGUUCCUAUGUGACAGAAGCCUGCCUCACACCUGGAGAGAAGGAAAGACGGUGGCAAGACACAGAGUUCCAGAAAGAACUGAACAGGGCCAGCAAGGUCCCUUGCCCAUGAACCUCAAUGUCCUCUGAAUGGCUGUUCCUGUGCCAUCAAACCUCCAAUUGUGUUCCUAUUUUCUUUGGUCUUCAUUCCUGAAGGCUACCAUGUGGAA